rnacentral:rRNA from 2 species
CUAAUACAUGCAAGUCGAGCGAACUGAUUAGAAGCUUGCUUCUAUGACGUUAGCGGCGGACGGGUGAGUAACACGUGGGCAACCUGCCUGUAAGACUGGGAUAACUUCGGGAAACCGAAGCUAAUACCGGAUAGGAUCUUCUCCUUCAUGGGAGAUGAUUGAAAGAUGGUUUCGGCUAUCACUUACAGAUGGGCCCGCGGUGCAUUAGCUAGUUGGUGAGGUAACGGCUCACCAAGGCAACGAUGCAUAGCCGACCUGAGAGGGUGAUCGGCCACACUGGGACUGAGACACGGCCCAGACUCCUACGGGAGGCAGCAGUAGGGAAUCUUCCGCAAUGGACGAAAGUCUGACGGAGCAACGCCGCGUGAGUGAUGAAGGCUUUCGGGUCGUAAAACUCUGUUGUUAGGGAAGAACAAGUACGAGAGUAACUGCUCGUACCUUGACGGUACCUAACCAGAAAGCCACGGCUAACUACGUGCCAGCAGCCGCGGUAAUACGUAGGUGGCAAGCGUUAUCCGGAAUUAUUGGGCGUAAAGCGCGCGCAGGCGGUUUCUUAAGUCUGAUGUGAAAGCCCACGGCUCAACCGUGGAGGGUCAUUGGAAACUGGGGAACUUGAGUGCAGAAGAGAAAAGCGGAAUUCCACGUGUAGCGGUGAAAUGCGUAGAGAUGUGGAGGAACACCAGUGGCGAAGGCGGCUUUUUGGUCUGUAACUGACGCUGAGGCGCGAAAGCGUGGGGAGCAAACAGGAUUAGAUAC